AGAAAAGGUAUUGUUUGGAGAAAGCUCAUCUCUAUUGUCGAUAAUGCAGUGGCGUAUUCAUUCAUUGCAAUUAUGCGUUUAGGUACGAGUGAGCUGAUCCCAGCCGCAUCCUUUUCAUGCCGGCGAAACUCGCCGGAAAUUGGAACACUUCAACGUCACAUACCCGCAGGACCAACCUUGCGGGGGCGAUGCCGCGAUUGGGCCGCAUAUGCAUGCCGUCAAAAACCGCAGAUUCUAAUUUCUAAUAAUAUCGAUGAAAGGGCCUUAAGGGGACAACUGUGGCCAACAUGUUUUGAUAUCUCAUGGAAAUGGCUUUCUAGGCUCAUCUCCUUUUACUUGCUAUCUCUCAAUCUUGCCGCUGCAGCCUCUGACUAUCCAGCUCCCUCUACUUAUGCCUGUGAGGACAUUAGCAAUUACUACUCCCCAGUGCAGCAUUUAAGAUUAAGAGGUGAAGCACUCAAGAGGCAAUUGAAUAGCAUCAUUGCCCCACAUCAUUCCUUGACUUACCGAGAGGUGUGGGAUGCCCUAAAGGUUCUCGAUGCUGCUGAUAUUGAUAAACCAGAAGCUUCAUCAGGAAUGUGUGGACUUAUCAUGGCCUUUAUGGCUUUACAUUUCCCAUUUAGUAAUAUCUUCUGUUUAUCACAUUAGCUUAUUUUUACAUAACUAAUGAUUGACAAUAUGCAGAGUUGAAAUAUACUCAUUGAGAGUUGUCCCAAAACGGUUAUCAGGAAAACCACAGGGAUGGAAUAGUGAGUCACAACUAAUCAACUUGUUGGACUUGCCAUGAUUUGGAUGGGAGCAUCUAUGGCCUCGAUCUUAUGGGCUGACUAAUGGUCCGGCUUUGUCUGAUUUACACAACAUUCGCCCUGCUGAUGUAAAUGUCAAUUCAUCAAGGGGAAACAAGUACUACGGUGAAUGUAUUACUAGCUCAACCAAAUGUUUGAGGCCAGCCAACAAAGAAGCUGCUUUGGACACUGAAACAGACAAAGAGAGGUGGGCACCACCGGUGCAGGUCAGAGGGGAUGUUGCAAGGGCAUUAAUGUACAUGGCAGUCUGUUAUGGGUUCCAACAGUCAGGGGCAAGUCCAGGUCUUCGCCUCUCAGACACCCCAAACGUUGAAAACAGGGAGAUGGGGCUUCUUUCCGCUUUAUUAAAAUGGAAUGAAGUUGAUCCACCUUCGAGGGAAGAAAAAUUGAGAAAUGAAAGGAUAUGCAAAUUUUAUCAGCAAAAUCGGAAUCCUUUUGUUGAUCAUCCGGAGUAUGCCAAUCUUAUAUGGAAGCAAGCUUUUUCCGGAUAUGCUCCUCUUAACAAAAACGACAAUAAUAAUGCCUCCAACAAAGAAAAAGAGUUAGGACGAGUGUCUCAACAAAUGUAACUUGCCUGCCACUUUCGUUUUCAUUUUUUGAAUUGCAAACGUGGCUUUUUCAGGAUAAUCCUCUGUUUUUUCUUUUUUAUUUCGGGUGUAAUUUAACGGGGUAUGUACGGUUUUC